UACGUAGGGGGCAAGCGUUAUCCGGAUUUACUGGGUGCAAAGGGAGCGUAGGCGGCUUUGCAAGCCAGAUGUGAAAGCCCGGGGCUCAACCCCGGGACUGCAUUUGGAACUGUAUGGCUGGAGUGUCGGAGAGGCAGGCGGAAUUCCUAGUGUAGCGGUGAAAUGCGUAGAUAUUAGGAGGAACACCAGUGGCGAAGGCGGCCUGCUGGACGAUGACUGACGUUGAGGCUCGAAAGCGUGGGGAGCAAACAGG
rnacentral:rRNA from 1 species